GUCAUUUGAUUUUGAUGCCCCCUGUACUGGGUGUUGUUUCAUCCCUAUGGGCGUCUGAUAGGUGUAUGAUUCCACUGGUUGUUUCAAUUCAGCUAGCCUAUUUCAUGUGGAUGUAGGAUGCAGAUGCUUAAUCCCCUGGUUGUUGAGUCUCAUGGUCUGUAGUUGGGGUUUCUCGAUUAUGUGUCCAUUUUUUUGUGUGAUUUGACUAAUCUCCUCCCUCUGAUCACAAUUACUUAGCCUUAUUAGUUUACCAAAUCUCCUUCUCCACCUAUCUGUUCAUGAUUUUGUCUACACUCGUAGUUGCUGCAUUGAGUUGUUCAUUGUUAGUUGGUCGCAGUGUAACUUGCAGUCAUAUUUUUCAGUGUAACUUUCAGUGAUUAGCACUAAAAUUUCCAGUAUUUUUGGUGCAACUUACAGUGAUUUGCACUGAAAUUUCCAGUGUAAGUUUCAGUGGAAUUUUCAAUUUAAUUACAUUGUAGUCCAGUGUAAUUGUGUAGUGGUGUACAACCCUGUAACUUACAGUGUACAUUACACUAGUUUCAAUGUAUUUUCGUUGUAAUUUUGAAGUAAUGUGUAACUUACAGUGAUUUACUCUGAGUUUUCCAGUAUUUUGGUGCAACUUAUAGUGAUAUUUUCAGUGUAACUUGGAGUUUCCAGUAUUUUUUAGUGUUACUUACAGUGAUUUGCACUGAAAUUUCCAGUAUAAUUUUCUGUGCAAUUUCAGUUUAAUUAUGUUAUAGUCCAGCGUAAUUGCAUAGUGCUUUACAACCAUGUAGCUUAGCAUACUUUUGUACUGGAAUUUCCAGUGUAAAUUUCAGUGUUUUCACAAUGUAAUUGUCUAAUUUACUAGCAAUGUCCUGUGACUUACAUUACUCUGCACUGAAAAUCCCAGUGUAAAUUUGAUUGUAAAUUGAUUGUAUUUACUGUGUAAUUACACUGUAUUAUCAGUGCACUUAUACUGUUAAUCACAGUGUAAUUUCAGUAAAUUACAAUGUUAUCCUAGUGAUUACAUUUACACGUGGUGCUUCCUGUGUAGCCGUGGCAUAUUUUAGGUGGUCUUUUUGUGUGUCUUAGUUGCAGUCCUGAUUGAUUUCUAUGAUUUUUAGUUAGUUAUUAUGUAAGUGGUUCUCUCUGUAAUAUAUUCUUUUUGUGAAUGAUAGAAAUGAUUUAGUUUACUGUGUCUGUUAGUCUCUGGAGGGUGUUCAUUCAGCUGUUGUUAUUAGUUUACUAUCAUAAUCAUUUGACCAUCGUUAGUGAAGCAAAUGGGCAGAUUGAUGAAGGGUUGUGAGCAGGGAACCCAUGACCUUUCUCCUGAUGACAGUGUAGAUUCUUCAGAGAAACCUUUUAUCCCCGACGACUAUGCUGAUGAUGAUUGUUUCAAAGUGUCACAGGUUUAAAUUUUUCUUUUCAAUAGACUGUCCUGCUUGUUUUGAUUUUCCUGCACCCUAGUUUUAACUAAGUUUCAUUUUGCUUUUUCCAAGUUUUGUCUACGGAUGAUGGCAUUUUAGACUAGGCAUUGUUUGAUUUCUAUGUGAAUCAUGUAAGUAAUUAGUUAUUGUUCUCUUCAGUUCUCACUCAUGUUUUGUUUCAUUUCGUGUUGGUAGCUCCUAGUAUUUUUUUACAGUGCCUCUGAUCUGAACUUACAUUGCCCCUGUAAGUUUUGAUUUUACAUUGUUUCAUUUUUUACAGUGUGCUUCAGUAAGAUUUACUAUUUUGUAUGAUCAAAGUAAAUGUGUUUUCAUUUACUGUAAGUUUUGGUAGCUCAUAGCAAUCUUUUUACAGUGCUUCUGAUCUGAUUUUACAAUGUGCUUCAGCAAGAUUUACAGUUCUAUGAUCAAAGUAAACAAUGGUGUCAUUUAUUGUAAGUUCUGGUAGCUCCUAGUAUUUUGUUUACAGCGCCUAUGAUCUGAUUUUAUAGUGUGUUCUGGCUAUGGUUAGAGUAUUUUUUUAGUUUGAUUUUUUACGGUGCUAUUGAUGAAUUUCUUACAGUGUGCUUUUUUUAACUUCUACUAUUAUUUUAUCACAUUAAUUGGUUUUUUCAUUUUCUAUGAAGUCUGAGAUUUUGAUAGUGUGCUUUUCACCAUCUUGCAGUGCACUAUUCUCAUCUAGUUCCAUGUUUCUUCUUUUUGUUGUCUUCAGACCAUGAAACUCGUUGGAGUUGUUCAGUCUCACAAACAAUGCUGACAAACCCAAGAUUUUUCAAGGAUGCUGACAAGCCUUGUUAUCAAAGUGUUGGAUUGCUUAGUUGGGUCCUCUUUCAAAGUUAGUGACGGUUUUUCCCCAAGAUUGAAUGCUGAAGUUGAUUUCCAAAAUAUAUCAUCUACUCCAACUUUGAAAUUUUCCAACAGUGAGCAGUACUAUUCAAGGAAGAAAUCUGCAGAUUAGCAGAGAGUAUCAUGUUAUCAUUUUUUUUUCUUAUGUAUCUUUAUUUGUUCAAGCUUUAAGUAAUGUUUUUGUUUUGUAAAAUUUAACCUUCUGUAAAUGAUCAAAAUGAAGUCCAGAAUGUUUGAAAGGCCGACACCAAUUUAUGCAUUAUUUGGUUCAGUCUCUCCCUCUUGUUUGUUAUCUGUUGUUCUGUCUAUCGGGUUUCAAACAGGGGUGGACCCGUUUAGUAUUUGUGUUGUUCCCUCUCUAGGAUCCCCCGUUUGUAAUUCUCGCAGACCCAUUAAAAGGGUAGAGCGCAUCUGGGAUAGAUACAACGAUAGACGGGGACCGGAACAUACAUAAGGACAUUGGACACUUGUCAAGUUGUGGUUGGUCAAAAAAUAUGACUGAAGACCAAUUGGUUUU
rnacentral:lncRNA from 1 species